UGCAUUUCUUUACUGUGAAAUUAGACUGAAGCUAAUACAGCAGUUUAAUAAGUUUAAAAUAUAUCAGGAGAUACUUUCCAAAGAAUGUUAUCCAAAGGAUCUUUAGUCCUAUGUACUGAAAAUGUGACAGAAAGCUGAGUAGAACUGCCUACAGGAGGUCCUGAUUUUGAUCGGGAGUGUUCCGUUGAUGCUGCCAACACUGCAGCACCUUGUUCCAUUUUAUCAUUCUUUGUGCAUGAGCCUGCGCAGUGAAUGCCAACUCUUAAGCUUUCUAGCAAGAUUUGCUACACAAACCAAAGACUUAACGCAUCAAGGAGUUGCUGAAAGAUGCCGGAUCAAAGUGGCCUGCAGCAUCCUCACUGAAAGCAGGCUUCCUCACAUCUGUCACACCCGGUCCAGCUGCAUGAACCAAGAGCAACCUUCACAGUCACACACCCACAACCGCUUUACACGAUCGACUGUCAUCACCUUCCCCCUGCUGUGAGCCAAGAGGAGAGGAUCGGGUAACAGAGGCCCAUGUACCUCGCACUUCAGCAGAGCAGACUCAAGUUUCUCAAGCGCACUUGUGAAGAUUGACUAGAGCUAAGGAUACAUACAGUCUGUGUCCAUUUUAAUGGGAUUGAAUUUCAAACUGAGCUAUGACAUCGCAACAAAAUAGCAACAAAACUAUACUGUU